rnacentral:rRNA from 1 species
UGGGCGAAAGCCUGAUCCAGCCAUGCCGCGUGUGUGAAGAAGGUCUUCGGAUUGUAAAGCACUUUAAGUUGGGAGGAAGGGCAUUAACCUAAUACGUUAGUGUUUUGACGUUACCGACAGAAUAAGCACCGGCUAACUUCGUGCCAGCAGCCGCGGUAAUAC